GCGCCCAGCGCAGCAGUGCAUAUCUGGUGAUACCGUGUGUGGCAUGAUCCCCUGAUACGAGACCUUGUUGGCCGUUCGAUCUGGAGUGAAGGCACAGGAUGGGCAGGCUCAGUUCGCAUUGCAAUUUAUGCAAAAGACACCCUGGGUUAUUCCGUGAUUCAGCUGAAGUGCACACCGCUCUGUUCUGUUUUCCUCUUCUUCAAUACGAAAUUUUCCCCACCGCCGCCGCCUAGGUCAUAUCCUACCGCCGCCGGCCACCACGGAGCAUGCCCCAUCCGCUGCUGGACGCCCCAAUCAAGAGCAACCUAGAGGGCUAUUGCGCGUGCGCCGAAUAGUUUGCUCAGAGCCGACAGAAGCUGUUGGCAUCCCCAUGGGAGCGGAGACGAACCUCUCGUCGCCGCAGCUAAAUCCGACCAAGUCGCGGGAGUCGGUGACCCUACUCAACGACGAUCAGAACUGGAUGUCGGCGCUGCGGGAGAGGAAAAUCAAUUCUCUAAUUGAACUGGAUGUCGAAACUGGCCUUAUUAUCUGUUCAAUUCAGAUGGACAUAUACACGUAAUCUUUCUUACAAAGUGUCAUAGAAUGUCUCCUACAUACAGUAGUUGAAAACCUCUACAGCCUAGCAUAAGUGAGCAUUUAGAGUAAUUGACUAAAAUUCAUGCCAAAUGAGGCUCAAUAAUGCUUGACUAACAGAAAAUCCCAGUAGAACUCUAGGUCAGGCUGGGACCUCCCAGUAUUGAAAAUCUAUGUACUUGUUCUCACUUUGCAGCAGCUGGAAUUAGGAAAGUUUCAUGAAUCAAAAUUACUUUAUCACAGUGUAAUAAGCUGACUUGCUGGCCAAAUAAACUGGCCUGCUAAUCAAAAUAGUGUCUUCUUUGACUAUCCACAAAUAUUAUGGGUAAAAUAAGAUGUAAGCAUUGUUUAGUUCUCUAACAAGAGAACAAUGACAUGGAGGGCGAGUAACAGACCUUUCGUACUCGGCACUCUGAACUCAGUACAUGUGUGAUUGUCGACUGCUACUUUCUUGAUUAACUACAUAGCAAAAGUGUAACACUUGGUUGCACGUUCUUACCAUUUCAAAUGUGUAUGCCGCUGCUGUAUGUAGCGUCAGAUGCUUGUUAUAGACAAUUGGCGGCAUAGUUAAGCUUCACUUUUUUGCAUGUUCCAGUAGUGUUACUAGGAAUCAAAACAAAUGUUUACCAAUUUCAUAUGCACCAAAAAGUCAUUAAUGGAGCCGACGGAGAGCACUGGUCAGAGUGUAGGAUCGACUACUCCAAUUGCACUUGAAGAUGACGCCAAUAGCAGUUUCAUGGAUGCAAAUCAGUCGGCUUCAUGUGGUGGAGAUAGUUAAAGUACACCAAGGAAAACAAGGUUCAGUAUACGUGGCUGAGUGUGACAAAAGCUUGAGCCGGCAAUUGGCAUGGUCGUUGAUAAAUGGGAGACUGGCGAGAUGUUCUACACACGGUGAGAUGUUCUACACAUGAUCAGGAGAAUUAGAUGGCGCAACAGACAUGCAGAUGUGCAUUUCUGCCAGCAUAGGAUGGCGUACAAGGAGAAUAUGAAGUCACCAAGUGAUCUGUAGUGAAGCUGUUUGGUUUAAUUAUAUAAAUUAGUGAACUAAAUAAUACGCUUGUAAAUAUAUGUAUAUUAAGGUCAUGUUAAUUCCUAUAUCAAGAUGGCAGCAUAUGAUGCACCUUUAUUUGGUGAA